CAGGGUGUAGCUCAGUCUGGCCAGAGUUCCCGCCUUGGACGCGGGAUGUCGUAGGUUCGAAUCCUUCCACCUUGACCA
rnacentral:tRNA from 1 species